rnacentral:lncRNA from 1 species
GUUCAAUUUUCUUUCUAGUUGAUUAGGAAAAAAGAGUCACUAUUCACGGGAGGAAUUUCAUUUUUUUUUUUUAGAUUUUUCAGCAGUUUCACAAAAAAAAAAAAAAUCUUUACUGUUCACGGGUACUGUUCACACCCGAAAUUUCAUUUUUUUAUUUAUCAUUUUCUACAGUUUCCAAAAAAAAAAAAAAAAAAAAAAAAAAAAAAAAUCAGUUUUAGAGUUUUAGGCAUUUGCUACUGCUAAGUGUGCUAUUUCAUAAAUUUUAUCCCUAACAAUCAAACCUUACUUACAUUCUGCCUACAUACAAGAUCAGUCCACCUUACGUUAACCCAACCCUAUAAUAAUCCAUAUAUCCACAUAUAAUUAUUACCCGCGAGCCCAUUCCUUUUAUCAAGACAUUUGGGCCAUAAACUAGUGGCCCAAAGUACUCCCAAUCUCGGUUAAAACUCACUCUCAUUUAAUCCAAUUCAAACCCACAACCCAUUUCUUCUCAGCCACUCGUCCAGAUUAACCCACAGUUACCAUAUGUUCCACGACCACCCUCACCGCCAAUCGCCAGCAACACACUGCCACGCCAGUUGUCAUCCACAACCCGGAGUUCAAUUUUUGCUUUAGUUUUCACGUCGAUGGACUUCUUCUGAGUUCAGAGUACCAAUGACAUUUGUUGAAUUGGAUUUGACCUAUUAUUUACAUUGGGGCAGCUAGUUAAAACUCUUGAGUAUUAGUGUUCCAUUCAGUGACUCGACUGUUUAGGAGUAUUUCAUUAUAAUUUUCUAUUGGAGACGUGCCAACUUGGAAAUCAUAAUUGAGCACAGUUCUUAUUCUUUGGGUUCCAUCAGGUUUAAACUUCCGUGGGCACCACCGCCACAACUAAACAAUAGGGAGUGCUAGAUUUCUAUUUGUCAUUGGUUUAUAAUACCGCUUCAUUUAAAAUUGCAUUGACUAAAUUUUUGUGAUGUUAUUAUUCUAACAAUAUACCUAAAGUCACGUGACUGAAUCCGUUGAUUUCGUCAAAACCUUAUUUUACCCCACUUAUAUUACAUGAUUAGAUUUUGACUAGUAUUUGAUUUAUGCUUUAUUAUUGUACAUAGAUCAGCAAUAUUAGCUUGCCAAAUUUGAAUUUACUUAUCCCUGAAAAAAAUGCUUAACUUGUUAUUUUUCACUGCUUGUAUUUAUUGUUUAUUGAUCUCAUCAUUGCACGUCAUUUAGUUGGUAUUACAUUGCAAGUAGUUGCGUAGUGGUCGUUUUGUUGUCUCUAUUUCCAAUACAUUGACCAUGUAUCCAUCCCAAUUUGAUGCACUCACUAGACAAUUAGCGCAACUUGCCACUAGCCUAUCGACUGUCCAAUCAGAUAUAACUGCUAAUCGUGAGAAGGGAAAGAACCUAGCUGCUAAGUUGAGCAAUUUUAAGCGAACCCCUCGUUUGACUGACACUAAUUUUGAAGCAUCUCAUAAUAGACAAUAUUAUCGCGGACAAAGGGAUCAAAAAUAUUUUCGAUUCGAUCGUAGGAAUAGAGAUCAGGUUUGUAAGCGAGAAUAAGGCCAUAGUUAUCAUGGUACUCAUUCUCUUCCUCGUCGUAAGGAGCGUUUCUUUAGAGACAUUGACUUGGAUACUCCUACUUUCGAUAGUUGCUUAGAUUAUGAAAUUUUUACCCAAUGGAACACCCUUACACAAUGGAAUCGACUAGUAACUGAGUACAUUGCUCAAUUUGAGAAAUUUCGAAUGAAAUGUCAUGUCGUUGAAGAUGAGGCCCUGACUUUGAGUAGGUUUAUACAAGGUCUAAGAGAUGAACUUAGCCGUGAGCUUUUCUUUCGAGGCGUCGUAGUCACUUGAUCAUGCUUACUCUUCAGCUCGAGACUACGAGUUAUUUAUUAGUACUUCAUAUGAAAAGCGCGACCAGCAUCGUUCUCCUAUGUCAUUAGCGCCACCUCAACAUGAGUCUGUCAUAGAGCCUUCCCCGUCUAGUGUUCCUCCUAUUUGGAAAAAUAAGUGUAAAUGUCGUGAUAGUCCAAGGCCCCAUUCUCCUUAUAGAAGGCGUAUUGACAAUCAUUCGUCUGUUUCAUUGGCUCCACUUCCUCCCGUUAAGUCUCUUCUAGAACCUCCCCCGUCUAAUGUUCUUCAAAUCUUGGAAAAUAGGAGUAAAAUUUUUGAAAUUCCAAGAACUUCUUCUCACCUGCUAUGCAUUAGCUGUAAGGACUUUGGCCACAUCUCUUCCAACUGUCCUAGUUGAGCCUUAGUCAUAGAAGAACGAAAGGAUGUAAUAGAAGAGUCGGUAAAAGAUCAAAUUUAUGAACCUAAAUUUGAAGAAUGUGAUAACUUGAAUGAUAUUGAGGACACUUCCUUAUGUAGUAUCAGGACUUUUCCUAUGAAUCUAGGGGUUGUACCCCUUUUUCCCGAUACCUCUCAGUUAAAUGUUGUGUGUCAUACUCUUUGCCAACCCAAAGGUACGGAUGAUUUGUGUAAUCAUGUCCUUUUCAAGGAAAAUCUUGAGAAUUGGGAUUUGAUCCUCCCAACAAUUCAAAUUGCAUAUAACAAUUUUGUGCAUCGGUUUAUAGGUACGAGUUCCAUCGAAGUUAUUCAUGGUUAUAAGUCUAGGAAACCUUUAGACCUUAUUCCCAUGUCUCCACAUACUAGUAUGUCUAUGUCAGCUGAGGUAUUUGUACGUCAUCUUCAUGACUUGCAUAUUGAGAUCAAUAAACAACAUGACGCAAAUAAUGCAUUAUAUAAAUUUCAAGCUGAUUCGUAUAAACGAUAUUUUGAAUUUAAUAUUGGGGAUUAUGUCAUAUUGCAAGUUUGUAGUGCUGGUCCUUUAAAAAUAUUAAAGCAUGUUGGCUUAGAUGCACAUGUCAUUGCCCUUUCCUCACAUUUUAGCUACCACGCUACUUCAAGCUACCACUCUACUUUAAAUAUUGAGGACUUCAUUACUUACAAACACCGUUUUACUUCCUUUGAUGAUUUAUUUCUACUUAACUUUAUGGACCCCCAACUUGAUUAUGUUGAUAUUUCUACUUUAAAACCAUCUAUCACAGCACACAAAGAUAAAAUUGAUGUUAUUUUAGAUGAAUGUGUUGUAUUGACCAAUGAUGGCAAGAUUCAGUACUUCCUUGUUUGUUGGGUAGAUCAACGUACUUCUUAUGCUCCUCAUUAUAUGCAAUCAUGUGAAAAUCUUGAAGAUGAGGUGCAUGAGUAUUGGUUAUUUGGAGUCCAGUAUUAGUACCUGGUUAGAAGGAAAAAUCGCCCUCCUUGGUCAGAUCAUAUUCUUGGGAAUAAGUUACAGUUUUCAGUAGUAUCAAUCAUGGAAUUUCGUUACUUGGUUCGUCAGAAAGAUCGUCCCCCGUGGCUUGGCUUGACGCAUUUGGAGUAUCAGAUUGAUUGCAGCCUAUACUAUCUAUCAACUCGACAGGGUCGAGUUUUUCUCCCUCCCCGAGAGAGUUGAUGAGGACAUCUACUUUUUAUUUAUUUUUAGUUGGACUUUAUCUAUGUUUUAGAUUUUAUUUAUGUAAUUGGGCUUGUGUUGGCCCAAGUCUAUUCUAUUUAGGGUUUUAGUCUUUACUAUUUAAACCUAAUUGCGAUGUAAUUUCAUUAGUUUUGAUGAAUUGAAGAAUAUUUCGGUGGUUUGUUGCCUAUGGCUUAUUCUUCCUUUCCCUCCCCCUCUCCCCCAUGAAUUUCUGCUUCUUCUCCGGUUUCUCCCCCCAUUCUCUCUGGUUCUCCCCUCUUUCUUGCUUCUUCUUUCUAUUUUUUUAAUUCGUCCUGCAUCAGAAAGUAAGGAGGUGGAAGUAUUCACCGAUGCUAAUUUAGCAGGAUCAAUUGAAGAUAGGAGAUCGACUACUAAUUAUUGUACCUUUGUAUGGAGAAAUUUGAUGACUUGGAGAAGAAAAAAAAGAAUGCAGUGGCCAGAAGUAGUGUUAAAACCAAGUUUAGAGCAGUAUCAGGGAUUUGUGAGGGCUAUGAUUUAAAAGAACUCUUGGGAGAACUACAGGCUAUAGUGAAAUUCCCUAUCAAACUCUAUUGUAAUAAUAAAGUAGCUAUCAAUAUCUCUCAAUCCAGUUCAACAUAAUCGAACUAAAUAUUUAGAAGUGAACAAACAUUUUAUCAAAGAAAAGGUUGAAAAUGGAAUUGUAUGCAUGACUUAUGUUCCUACUACAGAGCAAACUGUAGUAUCUUCACCAAAGGAUUACCACGACGAAAUUUUGAUAACUUUAUCUUCAAGUUGGAUAUGGCUAAUAUUUAUGAUCUAACUUGAGGAGAGUGUAAAAACCCCAAGAAUCAUUGGAUUAAAAUGUAGGAUUUAGGUCAUUGAUUGUAUACCUUAUUUGAUUCACUCAUAGUUAAGGCAAGUUUAUUUUUCUUGUUUUAGGAGAUUAUAUUCCUUCUUUAUACCACAUUCUUGUAUUAUAAAUAGGAUCCCAUAGUAUUAUCGAUCAAUAAAGCAGAAAUUUCCUAACUGCCCUGUUUACAAAAGGAAAAGGCUACGAUCGAGCAGUUUUUAAUCAUUCAGAACCCUCGUAUUUCUACAAAUGUUCUUCGACCCUUGUCCUCUUUUUGACACAAAAAAUUAAGAGCAAACCUUAAAGGCGAUAACAUGAAAAAUAAUCUCAAAAUAUAAAUAUCACUAAAAAUAAACUUAGUUUUCUCGAUGUUUUCAUUUGCCUUUUGUGGACUGGAAGUUUGGAAGUUGCACUUCAUUAUUUCUAUUGACAUUUUUGUGUCCCCUUGUGUUUUGAAAAGUCAUGGCUGAGCUUUUGGAGUGAAGUUCACUAUAAUUCAUUGUAAUUAAUUGGUGGUAAGUAUUUACUUAUUAGAGUUCAUGAGUUUUGAAAUAUUUGCUUUAGUUCAUAACUGGACGCCUUACAAUCUUUUUUCUUUUGAUAUUUGACAGAGGUUCCUUCAAGAGUACAUUGAAAAAGGCAUUGGCUAUUUUUGAAGCUUCCACUCAAAUUCUCCUUGCCAUCGGUGACGGAUGGCGAGCAUAAUAAGAAUACAACUAUAUUGAGCGCUCGGUACAUUUUUUUUAAUUGAAUAUCGUGCACUUGGUUAGUUGUUGAUGUCCAAAUAAAAUUUGAGGGUUGGCAUUCCAUAUCUACACUUUAAAAUAUGUCUGUAAACUAGCACCUUACAUUAAGAACCAUAUGGUAAAUUUGUUAGUUGUCAAGUCUUAUUAUUGAACGCUUAUACCUACUAUUGUUUAUAAACACAAUCCAUGUCGAAUUGCACUGAAUGGGUCGAAUCAUUCCGCACA